CUGCUGCCGCGCGAGGACUGAACCAGGCUCGCUCUUUCAGCGGCUUGCUUUCGGAAAUCCAAACCUCCAUCAGGACGGAACCUUUCACUGAGCACUUCACCGUUAUCCCUGGCAACGAACUGGGCCGGUAAACCCGACGAGGAAUACACCUCCAAAUCAAGAUGUUUGUUAGGUACAAAGGAGCAGACGGG